rnacentral:rRNA from 1 species
UACAGAGGGUGCAAGCGUUGUUCGGAAUCACUGGGCGUAAAGGGCGCGUAGGCGGCCAGCACAAGUCAGUUGUGAAAUCUCCGAGCUUAACUCGGAAAGGUCAACUGAUACUGUGCGGCUAGAGUGCGGAAGGGGCAACUGGAAUUCUUGGUGUAGCGGUGAAAUGCGUAGAUAUCAAGAGGAACACCUGAGGUGAAGACGGGUUGCUGGGCCAACACUGACGCUGAUGCGCGAAAGCCAGGGGAGCAAACGGG